GACGAACGCUGGCGGCGUGCCUAAUACAUGCAAGUAGAACGCUGAAGGAGGAGCUUGCUUCUCUGGAUGAGUUGCGAACGGGUGAGUAACGCGUAGGUAACCUGCCUGGUAGCGGGGGAUAACUAUUGGAAACGAUAGCUAAUACCGCAUAACAGUAGAUAUUGCAUGAUAUCUGCUUGAAAGGUGCAAUUGCAUCACUACCAGAUGGACCUGCGUUGUAUUAGCUAGUUGGUGGGGUAACGGCUCACCAAGGCGACGAUACAUAGCCGACCUGAGAGGGUGAUCGGCCACACUGGGACUGAGACACGGCCCAGACUCCUACGGGAGGCAGCAGUAGGGAAUCUUCGGCAAUGGACGGAAGUCUGACCGAGCAACGCCGCGUGAGUGAAGAAGGUUUUCGGAUCGUAAAGCUCUGUUGUAAGAGAAGAACGAGUGUGAGAGUGGAAAGUUCACACUGUGACGGUAUCUUACCAGAAAGGGACGGCUAACUACGUGCCAGCAGCCGCGGUAAUACGUAGGUCCCGAGCGUUGUCCGGAUUUAUUGGGCGUAAAGCGAGCGCAGGCGGUUAGAUAAGUCUGAAGUUAAAGGCUGUGGCUUAACCAUAGUACGCUUUGGAAACUGUUUAACUUGAGUGCAAGAGGGGAGAGUGGAAUUCCAUGUGUAGCGGUGAAAUGCGUAGAUAUAUGGAGGAACACCGGUGGCGAAAGCGGCUCUCUGGCUUGUAACUGACGCUGAGGCUCGAAAGCGUGGGGAGCAAACAGG
rnacentral:rRNA from 1 species